GGAUAACAGCUGGAAACGGCUGCUAAUACCGCAUAAGCGCACAGAGCUGCAUGGCUCGGUGUGAAAAACUCCGGUGGUAUGGGAUGGGCCCGCGUCUGAUUAGGCAGUUGGCGGGGUAACGGCCCACCAAACCGACGAUCAGUAGCCGGCCUGAGAGGGCGACCGGCCACAUUGGGACUGAGACACGGCCCAAACUCCUACGGGAGGCAGCAGUGGGGAAUAUUGCACAAUGGGGGAAACCCUGAUGCAGCGACGCCGCGUGAGCGAAGAAGUAUUUCGGUAUGUAAAGCUCUAUCAGCAGGGAAGAUAAUGACGGUACCUGACUAAGAAGCCCCGGCUAACUACGUGCCAGCAGCCGCGGUAAUACGUAGGGGGCAAGCGUUAUCCGGAUUUACUGGGUGUAAAGGGAGCGUAGACGGCAAGGCAAGUCUGAUGUGAAAACCCAGAGCUUAACCCUGGGACUGCAUUGGAAACUGUCUGGCUCGAGUGCCGGAGAGGUAAGCGGAAUUCCUAGUGUAGCGGUGAAAUGCGUAGAUAUUAGGAAGAACACCAGUGGCGAAGGCGGCUUACUGGACGGUAACUGACGUUGAGGCUCGAAAGCGUGGGGAGCAAACAGGAUUAGAUACCCUGGUAGUCCACGCCGUAAACGAUGAAAGGUAGGUGUUGGGGAGCAAAGCUCUUCGGUGCCGCCG
rnacentral:rRNA from 1 species